AACGAACGCUGGCGGCGCGCUUAACACAUGCAAGUCGAGCGAGAACGGUUCCUUCGGGAACUUAGUAGAGCGGCGAACGGGUGAGUAAUGCAUGGGUAAUCUGCCUUUAAGUUUGGGACAACCUUCCGAAAGGAGGGCUAAUACCGGAUAAGACCACACAUCAUAAGGUGUGAGGGAAAAGGUGGCCUCUAUUUAUAAGCUAUCGCUUAAAGAUGAGCCCAUGUGCUAUCAGCUUGUUGGUGGGGUAACGGCCUACCAAGGCGAUGACGGCUAGCUGGUCUGGGAGGAUGAUCAGCCACACUGGGACUGAGACACGGCCCAG
rnacentral:rRNA from 1 species